GGCUAGGUAGCUUAGACGCUACAGCAUUUGUCUAGCGUAUAAGGAUCGUGAGUUCAAAUCUCACACGAGCUG
rfam:Aedes albopictus isolate Foshan contig11639, whole genome shotgun sequence.